AAAAAAAAAAACACUCAUAACUCGAGGCGUGGCCACUGGCUUCCCUAGUCCCGAUGAUGGCCCCGCCGCCGCCGGCUGGAAAUGCUGGCGCUUCGCGUCCUGCCCCGCCGAGCCUUCUGCUGGGGACCGCGACGCGCCGCCGCGGAGUCGCUGACCCUACGGUCGAAGAGCGCGAAGUCGCCGGCGUACCUACCUCCCGGUUCCCUCCGGCGAAGUUUGAUUUUCUUCCGAACUCAGGUAGUUGCAGAGAUCAAUACUAAACCGGUCGACAUUGGAGUUAACCAGAUCUGUCUUAUGCAGUUGACAGAGUAUAUCACUUAAGAGCUUCCCUGGAUCCCCAUGGGCCCCUGAAACCCAUGCCCUUUCCUCGAAUUGCUUGCCAACCUCGCUGUUGUACAAUUCCCUGGCAAGGAUGGUUUUCCCCAAUCCACAGAACCCAACUAUAGAGAUCACCUUCAGCUGCUUUGGUUGACUCUCCGCUUCCACCAACUGCACCAGAAGCUCCUCCAAGGGCGCGUCGAUGCCAACAAGAUGAUCACGAGGUACAUGCUGAUCCAAGGAUGAUUCUGCUAGCUGUGAUGGGGAUGAACGGGGCACUGAAUACCUCUGUUGCCGUUGGAGUGCUUCCUCCAGUCUGGACCUAAGUCGCUGCAUCUCUUCACCUAACUGGCAGCGUGAUUUUCUCUUCCUCCCAGAUUUAAUAUAUUUGCAGUACCAUGGUUGCUGAUCCAAAGACGCAUCAUACAUGAUGUGAUCUAUGCAGUCUUCCAUUUCAUGAGCUACAUGGCGCAAUUCAUCAACUGUUAAACGCAGUAUGUGAUCAUCAUGUCCCAAGAGCUGCCCAUCAAUGGCACUAGUGAUCAUGGGAAGCUCUCUCAUCAGGAAAGUAACAUCUCCUUCAAAGCCCUUGUACAGAUUGUAUUUCUCCUCCACAAGACAGAACAAUCUAGACAAAAGAUUGUCUAUAAAUGCACUCAACAGGCGGGGGUCCUCCAUGGAUCCCCUGUUCAGUUCUGAUGGUUCCUAGUGAGCAGGUGAAAAGCUCCUUUCGCUACUGUGACAGUAAGUAGCAUUUGUUAGCUUAAUCUAAUAAAGGUUCCACGUUUUGUAUUGCAUACAUAUAUGUAGUCAUAUGUAAAAUAGUUCCAUUGUAGCUGAAGAGUCCACUACACAAAAUAGUGCUGUCAGCUACUUUGUUAACCAAACUGUUGGAAUACUUGUAUAUGACGUACAUACUCUCUCCUAA